UGUAUUAAUGGAUUUCAAUAUAAUAUAAUUUCCGCCGCUUUCGUUUGAACCAAUUUCUCUCAAAUUAGAUUAAAAUAAAUAAUAAAAACCUGCUGCUGCGCACUAAACCUCCUCUUAGGCUUUACGACCCGGCUUCUCCUCUACUUUACGACUUGACAUCUCAUGUGAUUUCAUUUUACAGCCCCUGCACGCACACACACACACACGCACACACACGCGCACACACACACACACGCACACACAUUCCACUGGAACACAAGAGCAGCCUAUAUACUUCAUAGAGCAUCCGCUGUCUCGGAGUGGUGUAUACGGGCUUCAAGCCCGGAGGGGGCACCCCCCCCCCCCCCCGGAGCCCCCCAAGGGCUGCUGCACUGUAAUUGGACACAGCUUUGGGGAGUCAGCCGGACCCGCUGUAACUCUCUCUCCGGCUCCGAGACGAGCAGCUUCUCAUCUUGGAGCGGCGGUGAAAUAUGGACAGCGAGGUUUUUGUUUUUUAAUGGCGCCUGUUGUCGAUUUCCGGUUAAUACAUUUUAAAAAGAUGUUUUUUUCUGGAAGAAAAAAAGAAAGAAAGCCGCCGUCAGAGCGGGGGGCGUGGCCCGCCCGUGAACCUCAGACUGCCAUUGGCCGCCGUAACAGGAAACGUUUCCAACCCAAAAGGCUGUCUCAAUCCAAAAUACCCCCCUCCAGCAACGUCAGAGCGCUGCACACACACACACACACACACACACACACACACACACACACACACACACACACACACACACACACACACACACACACACACACACACACACACACACACACACACACGCGCGCGCACGUCAAGGUGCGUCUCCAUGAGAUCUGUCAGCCCCCGCACGCGGUAAUAUAACCACCUGCUCAUAAAGCAACGGAUACACGAUAGUUGUGCGCAGGAGGAGGAGGAGCAGCACGAGCACGAGCGCCAUCGACCGACAACAGCCCGGUGUCAGCCGCCGCCGCCAGGUGACAAACAUGUCCCGGUUCUGGAUGUGCGUAACGCACGCGUUUACUUCCGCAUCGUUCGGAUGAAAAUGCGCGCGCCCCCCUCCUUCUCUCCCUCUCCACAUCCUCCUCCUCCUCCUCCUCUGCCCACGUCACUCAGCCACCAGGACCGGCAGCUCGGGUCUAGACUGCCACCCGCUAACCAGACACGUGCCCGGCUUCAGCACCUCGGGGUGCCAGCUCUCCGUCACGCGCUGGCCCCGUUUCAAGAUCCACGAGUGCGGCUUCUGUUCUCCGACACGACCCGGGUCGGCGGUGAGCUGAUCUCCGUCUCACCAGCACCGCAGCGCGCGCGCACCUCCUCCGUGCACAGUGGCCACCUCGCGCCAUGUCUGCAGAGCUCGAGCUUCCUCCUGGAAGAGAUAACGGGAUAGGGCUUAUCGGUAUCGGCCAUUCGGUGCCGGUCCAAAAACAAAAAGCAGGACCGGCUGCAGCGACACGGAGGACGAGGAGGAGAGCCCGGGUCCGGGACCAGAACCAGAACCAGCACCAGCAGUGAUGGAACCGAACAUGUGGUCCACGAUGCCGACAUGGGAUGGGAAUGACGUCACCGUAAGAGCCCCGUCAGAGGCGCAGUGCCCGGCCUUCAGAGGCGCAGUGCCCGGCCCUCAGAGGCGCAGUGCCCGGCCGGCGGAGCCGCAGCAGAAGCGCCGGGUCCUCAUAUGGGAGCCGCAGACCCCAGAGCCGGAGCUUUUCUCCCGCACAGCAGACCCGACAGCGCCGCCUGGAGCUCAGCGGGAGCGUCGCCCCGAGGGUCCGGCAGGUGAAGAAGACCUGGUUCCACAACCGGAGGGACUACGAAGGGAAAAGCGGCCGUGCGCAACCGCGAGCUGUGCGGCGUCGCCCUCGACCUCUCCCCGGCGGAAGUGGACCAGCUGCAGCACAGAGAGCACGAGGAGCUGGCAGCGAUUAAAACAAUAAAGACUAUUGUCUCAAACAAUAGAACGUCCGUCAACACUAAACGUAUUAUUUCCGGCCUCCUAUGAACGGGAGCGUGGACAGUUUGACAUCCUGGAUCCAAAUAUCAUCCCGAGGAACAUCCGGGUUCUCUCGCUUUGUUUGUGCGCGUCAGUUGGUGGAUUUCUUUUCUUUUUAUUAUAAGAACAAAAAGACAAAACAAAAGACUAAAGUGAGGAGUCUCGGUGCAGGAAGAUGAGACGGCCUCAGAGGAAAGUGGGAUUUUUUUUGUUUUGGCGGCUUUUCUUUUCUUUUCUAUAGUUUGAUUUGAUUCUCAUUUCCCUUCCAGGCAUCUCGGACUCCUCGUCUCACGGUGAGUGUGAGUUUAUUAUUAUUAUUAUUAUUAUUAUUAUUAUUAUGGACAUUUUUCUCCGUGCAUAGUGACUCGAGGUUGUUGAUUAAAAGGCCUCGAACUGUUUAUUUAUUUUUUACAUUUUAUUUAUUAUUCUAUGCAUUAAGUGUGAAGGAUGUGAAGGAUUUUUUAGAAAAUCAACACUUCGUGUGUCUUAUAUGGAUUUUUUAAAUUUCAUUUUUCAAACUAAAAAUAUAUACAUUUUCCAGUAUAAAGGUGUGUUUCGUUAUUAUUUUUGUUGUAGUCAAAAUGAAAUACAAUUUGUAUAUGUUAAUGUUUAAUCCAACUCAGAAAUGUCUUAUCUUUCAAGAGAGUAUUUAAAACGUUGAUAUUUGUGAUAAAUGUUCUUUUUAUGAAGCUGAUAUCCUGUGUUUUCCCCAACAAACAUUCCUUUAAUAAAGUCAUUUAAUUAUUCCUGCUGGAGAAAAAAAGAAAAAGGUUAUCUAAUUAAUAAUUUGUGGUGCAACUAUUUUCCAUGUAUUUAUUUAUUUAAAAUAAAAAAUACAGGCUGA